UACGUAGGGUGCAAGCGUUAUCCGGAAUUAUUGGGCGUAAAGAGCUCGUAGGCGGUUUGUCGCGUCUGCUGUGAAAACUGGAGGCUCAACCUCCAGCCUGCAGUGGGUACGGGCAGACUAGAGUGCGGUAGGGGAGAUUGGAAAUUCCUGGUGUAGCGGUGGAAUGCGCAGAUAUCAGGAGGAACACCGAUGGCGAAGGCAGAUCUCU
rnacentral:rRNA from 1 species